UACAGAGGUCUCAAGCGUUGUUCGGAUUCAUUGGGCGUAAAGGGUGCGUAGGUGGCGCCGUAAGUCGAGUGUGAAAUUUCGGGAGCUUAACUCCGAAACUGCAUUGAUACUGCGGUGCUUGAGGACUGGAGAGGAGACUGGAAUUACGGUGUAGCAGUGAAAUGCGUAGAGUAUCAUGAAGGAAGACCAGUGGCGAAGGCGGGUCGUCUGGAC
rnacentral:rRNA from 1 species